rnacentral:rRNA from 1 species
UACGUAGGGGGCAAGCGUUGUCCGGAUUUAUUGGGCGUAAAGAGCGUGUAGGCGGCCUAGUAGGUCAGCUGUGAAAACUCGAGGCUCAACCUCAAGCUGUCGGUUGAAACCACUAGGCUAGAGUCCGGAAGAGGAGAAUGGAAUUCCCGGUGUAGCGGUGAAAUGCGCAGAUAUCGGGAAGAACACCCGUGGCGAAGGCGGUUCUCUGGGACGGUACUGACGCUGAGACGCGAAAGCGUGGGGAGCGAACAGG